AAAAUAGAAUCAAACUCGUGCUUUAUCUGUGAUAAAAUAACUUAAACUAUGUGACGUGCAUACAUGCACGAAGAAACUUUCUAGUCCGAAAAAGUUGGAUUCUGGGAAGUUUAAAAGACUAUACAUUCCUUUAAAGCCAGUAUACAAAAGGAAAAAGAAGAAGAAAUACAGCACACUGUGUACAGAACCUUUGACAGCCUUUCUCUGCUUGAUGAGGUUUUUUGAAGUGGAGAAAGGAAAUAUGUAUAAAAAAACAUUUGGACUACCCAUGAAGUGCAGUAUAUAUACUCAGGAAAGACACUCGUUGACAUUGUGGAACUUCUCUUCCAUGCCUGAUCUAUUUCAUUAUUUAUUUAAUAUUAUUGACAGAAUGAUAUUAUUUUAUAGUAAUUUAUUUGUUUAUAUUUGUUGUUUCUUUUGUUGUAAAUCAAUAAAAUUAUGAAAUGAAA